GACGAACGCUGGCGGCGUGCCUAAUACAUGCAAGUAGAACGCACAGUUUAUACCGUAGCUUGCUACACCAUAGACUGUGAGUUGCGAACGGGUGAGUAACGCGUAGGUAACCUGCCUGGUAGCGGGGGAUAACUAUUGGAAACGAUAGCUAAUACCGCAUAAUAUUGAUUAUUGCAUGAUAAUUGAUUGAAAGAUGCUAUUGCAUCACUACCAGAUGGACCUGCGUUGUAUUAGCUAGUAGGUGAGGUAACGGCUCACCUAGGCGACGAUACAUAGCCGACCUGAGGGGGUGAUCGGCCACACUGGGACUGAGACACGGCCCAGACUCCUACGGGAGGCAGCAGUAGGGAAUCUUCGGCAAUGGACGAAAGUCUGACCGAGCAACGCCGCGUGAGUGAAGAAGGUUUUCGGAUCGUAAAGCUCUGUUGUAAGAGAAGAACGGGUGUGAGAGUGGAAAGUUCACACUGUGACGGUAUCUGACCAGAAAGGGACGGCUAACUACGUG
rnacentral:rRNA from 1 species